rnacentral:rRNA from 1 species
UUCCGGUUGAUCCUGCCAGAGGUUACUGCUAUCGAGGUCCGACUAAGCCAUGCGAGUCGAAUGUAGCAAUACAUGGCAUACUGCUCAGUAACACGUGGACAACCUACCCUCAGCACGGGGAUAAACCCGGGAAACUGGGUAUAAUACCCGAUAGAUCUGAGAAGCUGGAAUGCGCUCAGAUUGAAAGCCCCGGCGCCAAAGGAUGGGUCUGCGGCCUAUCAGGUAGUAGUGNGUGUAGCGUACCUACUAGCCUACGACGGGUACGGGUUGUGAGAGCAAGAGCCCGGAGAUGGAUUCUGAGACACGAAUCCAGGCCCUACGGGGUGCA